AUCAUUUAACUUUUAUAAUUUGUUCAAGUAUAGGCUAGUACCUGUAUAUUCUUGAUUCCUAAGAAGACAGAAACCCAUGUUUAGUUGAUGAACCACGACCAUGUAACCAGAGUGUGAUUAACAGAUGUUCAUGGUCUUGGCCAUAGCUUAGUAGAUGAUCGUUGCCAAUCCAUCUAAUGGUCCUGGCAUGGUUACAUGGUUGUCUGACAGACA